AGGACAGGAAGCCGGCGUUAGAUACUACAGAGAUGCUCGAAGAAUUGUGAAAGCUUACCAAAGUAACUACGGAUGCCCAGCCAUUCAGGAAUGUGCAAUUCGGUGCCUUAUCGACGGUGGAUUAUUUUCUGUUUGCAAUAUGAACCCUCCUUACCACUGUUUCUGCUACUUCCUGCCGAAGUCGCGACAACUGCCUAACUUUCUACGUGAAUAAAUAUCGUGGAGGAACCUACCGAUAAUUCUUCAACCGAGGCACAGUUGGAACAGAAUAAUUACUCACGAACCUACAUCUGCUAUCAACGUUCAUCACUCACCGAGGUGCUUUGUUGGCUUGU